UUCCAAUGAUGAUAUCAAGGGAAAAUAUGUUAGUAUGAAUUUUAAUGAUUACUAUACCUAUACUGCCUUCCUUCUGAGGUU
rnacentral:snoRNA from 1 species